rnacentral:rRNA from 1 species
GUUUGAUCCUGGCUCAGGACGAACGCGUGGCGGCGUGCUUAACACAUGCAAGUCGAACGAGGAUAGUUGGGAGCUUGCUUUUGACUAUCCGAGUGGCGGACGGGUGAGUAACGCGUGAGCAACCUGUCUCACACAGGGGAAUAACGCAUCGAAAGAUGUGCUAAUACCGCAUAGGACCACGGCCUCGCAUGGGGCUGAGGUGAAAGGAGCAAUCCGGUGUGAGGUGGGCUCGCGUCUGAUUAGAUAGUUGGUGAGGUAACGGCCCACCAAGUCAACGAUCAGUAGCCGACCUGAGAGGGUGAUCGGCCACAUUGGGACUGAGACACGGCCCAGACUCCUACGGGAGGCAGCAGUGGGGAAUAUUGGGCAAUGGGCGCAAGCCUGACCCAGCAACGCCGCGUGAAGGAAGAAGGUUUUCGGAUCGUAAACUUCUGUCCUAUGAGAAGAUAGUGACGGUAUCAUAGGAGGAAGCCCGGCUAAUUCCGUGCC